AGUGAACGCUGGCGGUAGGCCUAACACAUGCAAGUCGAACGGCAGCACAGUAAGAGCUUGCUCUUACGGGUGGCGAGUGGCGGACGGGUGAGGAAUACAUCGGAAUCUACUUUUUCGUGGGGGAUAACGUAGGGAAACUUACGCUAAUACCGCAUACGACCUACGGGUGAAAGCAGGGGAUCUUCGGACCUUGCGCGAUUGAAUGAGCCGAUGUCGGAUUAGCUAGUUGGCGGGGUAAAGGCCCACCAAGGCGACGAUCCGUAGCUGGUCUGAGAGGAUGAUCAGCCACACUGGAACUGAGACACGGUCCAGACUCCUACGGGAGGCAGCAGUGGGGAAUAUUGGACAAUGGGCGCAAGCCUUAUCCAGCCAUACCGCGUGGGUGAAGAAGGCCUUCGGGUUGUAAAGCCCUUUUGUUGGGAAAAAAAAGAAGCAGGUUAAUACCCCGCUGUUCUGACGGUACCCAAAGAAUAAGCACCGGCUAACUUCGU
rnacentral:rRNA from 1 species